GAUGAACGCUGGCGGCGUGCUUAACACAUGCAAGUCGAGCGAGAAGUUUUGAAAAGAUUCUUCGGAUGAAAUUUAAAAUGGAAAGCGGCGGACGGGUGAGUAACGCGUAGGCAACCUGCCCCAUACAAAGGGAUAGCAUUUGGAAACGAAUAUUAAUACCUUAUGAAACUUAACUAGUGCAUGCUAGGUAGGUCAAAGAUUUAUCGGUAUGGGAUGGGCCUGCGUCUGAUUAGCUAGUUGGUGAGGUAACGGCUCACCAAGGCGACGAUCAGUAGCCGACCUGAGAGAGUGAACGGCCACAUUGGAACUGAGACACGGUCCAAACUCCUACGGGAGGCAGCAGUGGGGAAUAUUGCACAAUGGGGGAAACCCUGAUGCAGCAACGCCGCGUGAACGAUGAAGGCCUUUGGGUCGUAAAGUUCUGUUCUAGGUGAUGAAAACUGACAGUAACCUAGGAGAAAGCCCCGGCUAACUCCGUG
rnacentral:rRNA from 1 species